AUGGUGCACAUCGACCGGGUCAAAGACUGGGCGCCCCUGUCUCUGCGCUCCUCCCACUCCGGGCAAAGUGGCCUCCCGUCCUCCUCCGACGACGAUCGCCCGUACCCACGCUACCCCCACGCGGGGGGCAGGGUGGCCGGCAUGGAGGACGACAGGCCGUCGCAGGACCUGGGGCAACGCUUGCGCCGCCCGCGCAAGUGGCGUCUUCGGGCUGCAAGGGCAUGCCCUCGGUGGGCCACAGGCGCAACCAUGACGGCGACGAUAGUGCCGGCCAGCGUUGAUCAUGGAAGGACACGCUACUCGGGCGAAGCCGCGGCAAGGAGCCGGCCGCGCCUCCCUCCGCUCCUGUGCGCCGCCACAGCCGCACCCCAACAUCGUGCCGCGGUCACGGCCCCUCCAAGGACAGGCGUUCUGACCACGCCCCCAGGGAGCUCCGCUCUGAGGGUAGGGCAGGCUCAAGCCGCUCCCGCGGGGCGUCCUUCUCACGCACGCCUGCGGCUUCUGCCAACCCGUUGCUCGCGCCACCCUGGCCUCUGCCUCAGGCUCCAGGCAGCGCACAGGAGGACGACCCAGUGGUCGCUUUCUUCGACGUGGUCGACAAGGAGCUGCCACCUCCCCCAAGGGUGGACGCGCGGGCGGCGGCUGUUGACAGCGCGACGACUGCCACCAUGGACAAGCCGCUCAGCUUCACCGACCAGGUGGGCGCUGGCAGCGGCAGCGACGACGUCAUCAACAUGGGUCCGGCCCUCUCGCUCGCACGCCACUCUCCCAAGCCGGCCACCACUCACUCUGUGUAGCUCGGUGCGAUGA
rnacentral:rRNA from 1 species